rnacentral:rRNA from 1 species
UAUGGAGAGUUUGAUCCUGGCUCAGGACGAACGCUGGCGGCGUGCCUUACACAUGCAAGUCGUGCGAGAACGGUUCCUUCGGGAACCUAGUAGAGCGGCGAACGGGUGAGUAAUACGUGAGCGAUCUGCCCGAAGGUGGGGGAUACCCCAGGGAAACCUGGACCAAUACCGCGUACAGCGUCGGGAGUGGAUGCCCGACGUGAAAGCCGGCCUCUUCGAUGCUGGCGCCCUCGGAUGAGCUCGCGGCCUAUCAGCUUGUUGGUGGGGUAACGGCCUACCAAGGCUAUGACGGGUAGCUGACGUGAGAGCGUGAUCAGCCACAUUGGGACUGAGACACGGCCCAGACUCCUACGGGAGGCAGCAGUGGGGAAUAUUGCGCAAUGGGCGAAAGCCUGACGCAGCGACGCCGCGUGGGGGAGGAAGGCCCUAGGGUUGUAAACCCCUGUCAGGUGGGACGAACACCUUGUCGGAUAAUACCCGGCAGGACUGACGGUACCACCAGAGGAAGCUCCGGCUAACUCCGUGCCAGCAGCCGCGGUAAU